rnacentral:rRNA from 1 species
GACGAACGCUGGCGGCGUGCUUAACACAUGCAAGUCGAACGGAAAGGCCCUGCUUUUGUGGGGUGCUCGAGUGGCGAACGGGUGAGUAACAAGUGAGUAACCUGCCCUUGACUUUGGGAUAACUUCAGGAAACUGGGGCUAAUACCGGAUAGGAGCUCCUGCUGCAUGGUGGGGGUUGGAAAGUUUCGGCGGUUGUGGAUGGACGCGAGGCUGAUCAGCUUGUUGGUGGGGUAGUGGCUUACCAAGGCUUUGAUGGGUAGCCGGCCUGAGAGGGGGACCGGCCACAUUGGGACAGAGAUACGGCCCAGACUCCUCCGGGAGGCAGCAGUGGGGAAUAUUGCACAAUGGGCGGAAGCCUGAUGCAGCAACGCCGCGUGCGGGAUGACGGCCUUCGGGUUGUAAACCGCUUUCGCCUGUGACGAAGCGUGAGUGACGGUAAUGGGUAAAGAAGCACCGGCUAACUACGUG